rnacentral:rRNA from 1 species
UACCAGCACCCCGAGUGGUCGGGACGUUUAUUGGGCCUAAAGCAUCCGUAGCCGGUUCUACAAGUCUUCCGUUAAAUCCAGCUGCUUAACAGAUGGGCUGCGGAAGAUACUAUGGAGCUAGGAGGCGGGAGAGGCAAAGCGGUACUCGAUGGGUAGGGGGUAAAAUCCGUUGAUCCAUUGAAGACCCACCAGUGGCGAAGGCGGCUUGCCAGAACGCGCUCGACGGUGAGGGAUGAAAGCUGGGGGAGCAAACCGG